rnacentral:lncRNA from 1 species
AAAAAUUCGGUUAUUUUAUCGGUGGAUGAAUUUGUGUCGUCUAAGUGUCUAGGUUAUGAAAGCAAUAAAGCGGAAAAUAAAACGACACCAAGAAUUAUCCUGGUUCCCUUCACAAACCGAAGGUACAUCCAGUCCCCUUACACCUCGUAAGAGAUUUUAUUAUAGUUUUAGAUUGUACAGCCUAUCACACCAUAAACCGGUGAAGCCUACGUUCUAA